rnacentral:rRNA from 1 species
UGGGGGAUAUUGCACAAUGGGCGAAAGCCUGAUGCAGCGACGCCGCGUGGGGGAUGAAGGCUUUCGGGUUGUAAACCUCUUUCGCUAUCGAACAAGGCCCGCUUAGGGUGGGUUUAGGGUAGGUGGAGAAGAAGCGCCGGCUAACUACGUGCCAGCAGCCGCGGUAAUACGUAGGGCGGGAGCGUUGUCCGGAAUUAUUGGGCGUAAAGGGCUUGUAGGCGGUUUGUUGCGCCUGCUGUGAAAACGCGGGGCUUAACUUCGCGCGUGCAGUGGGUACGGGCAGGCUUGAGUGUGGUAGGGGUGACUGGAAUUCCAGGUGUAGCGGUGGAAUGCGCAGAUAUCUGGAGGAACACCGAUGGCGAAGGGAGGUCACUGGGCCAUUACUGACGCUGAGGAGCGAAAGGAUGGGUAGCGAACAGG